ACGAUUCUCAUAUGUUCUCAUCUCAUGAUAAGUAAAAGAUUUCAAGUUCAGGAGUGGAUAUGCAACCAACAGAAAUACUUUUUGCUAGAAAUACUUAUGGCUUCUUCUUCUUCUUCUUGUAAUAUUAUUUUUGAUAAGGAAUUUAGAGACCUUGUUUUUUGGUA